rnacentral:lncRNA from 1 species
GCAGAUCUUCUUCAACUCUUCUUCUCCUACUUCUAUCAUGGUAGAUCAGGCUUCUCAGUCACCUCGCACUCUCGUUUAUAUGAGGUCUUGGGUAGGCACAUCUCCAUCCACCAUUUUGCAUCUUAUGGCAACAGAAGGUAAGCUCUUCGUAUUGUUUUCCAUCGGGCUAUUCUAUCUCCACUUAUUCAUAUUGUUUGGUCCAAUUGAUAUGUCCUUAACUGAUGUGCGCACAUGGAGAACCCAUAUGUGCAGCUUAUCCAACUUGCUCAUCGCCCAAAUAAACAAGCCAAUAAUGCGCACCGUGGCUUCUCAACCACAUAAAUCUCAUGUAGAGUCUGCAAUGGAUUGUGCCUUGGAUAUAAAUUCGAUGCACCCGCAUUCAUAAAUGUCUUAUUGUUAGGAUAUUCAUUUUCAUCUAAAUCGACAUGCUGGCAGUAUUAUCGAUUUCAGCAUCAUUCAAAAGGGCUUAAGCAAUUAAUUUAUCGUUUUCCAUUUUUCAUUUUCCCCGAUUAGAUCGACGUCUUGUGCAUUUUGAGCAAAUAUGUUGUUUAUUCCAUGUGCACUUACUCAAUUUAUAAUUUCACAUAAGAUUACACUUCUUUUGUCAAUCCAUUUUUUCAUAUCCUCAAACUUUUCUUUUUUCACUCUUCUUGGGCACACCCAAAUCUUCCACUUGCUCCACUACCAUGUAUUAACAUCUUAACACUGUAAACAUGCAAAAACAUAUGAUCAGUAACUGUCCCACUCUUAAAUAUAAGUUUAUAUAUUAAUCAAGUCAGAAUUGUAGAUCUGACUUGGUCUCUGAUAACGACAAUUUACACUAAUAAAUGUCUGGGCAUUGACAAAUUAAAAUGUGGCAAUAUGGAGAGUAUGAAUUUUAAACAGACUAAGCUCCUUUUGUAUUGCCCCUAAAACAUUAAACCCUAAACCCUGAUUUUCUUUUUUGCUCGACCUCUUACCAAGGAAACUAUUUUAUUAUUUCCGGAAGCGGCACACAUUUUGAGGGAUGCCUCUUGUUUCCUUGGCAAACCCGAUGCAGUCCAACAUAGUUUGGGGUGUUCACAUUGCACAAUGCCGCAGCAUAUAUUUUAGACAUAUAUUUCUCAAAGAAAAAAAUUGCACGUGGUAUAAAGAAAUAAGUAAUUGCCAGUUGAUUAGUUGUCAUUGUCAUGAUUUGUGUACAUUCAGACGUUUAAAUGCGUGGAUAUGAUCAAAGAUAUGUCCAAUUGAUUGCAUGAGGAGGACAGUGUCGGGCAGGAAAAUAGCACACGAAUUUCAUUUAUUAUUGCAGAGUGAUACUAAAAUAAUAGUAGACGAGCCCUUUUAUAUGAUAAAUCGGUUGCUAUUGGCUGUGUAGGUUAUACUAUAUGUCACUGUCAAAAAUUUUGAACACAAGUUUUUCAACACGUUACUAAAGAUCCCCUAAUGAUUUGUUUACGUUGAUGCAUGAAGUGUUGGAUAAAUUUAUAUAAUAUGAAAUAUAAGAUUCCUUGGAAAUUUGUUGAAAAGGAUGGAAAAAAAUAAGAUAAAAUGUCUUAUGCGUGCAAGCUUAAGGAAAAUUCCAUCAUUCGAAGUAUGAAACCCAAUGCAAUAGACUCGAGGACUAUCCUCUUAAAAUAUAACAAACCUUCUUCUUUCUCCCAUUCAAAAUAAUAAAAGAAAUAGAAACAAUGUUAUAUGUCUCAUUGAGCAAAGAAAUUAAAGAUAUGAGAAGGGAAGGAAAAUUCUCUUUUUGAUUCUAUGUAUCUUUUUUUUUUAAAUUGUGGUUUGAAGUCUCAUUUUAUAUUAAAUGAAAGAGAAAGCCACUAAGCAAUCGCUAUAAAUCAAUUGGUAAUUAUAACAAUGAUGACAGUUAUAAGUCGUGAUAAAAUAAUGAAAGAUUUAUUGAAAAAUAAAUCAAAUGUUACAAAACCAUUACAAUGCCACUAUAGAUCAGUGAUGGACAAAAACCAUUACAAAUUAUUGACGAUAAAAAAUAUUAUAAAAACAUUUUUUUUUUGUAACUUCUAUAAAAGCUCUUGCUUUUAAAUAUUUCUACACUAUUGAAAUAUCUAACAACCCCCAAAUUUUUCAAAAGUUUUGAAAAGAAAAAAAACAGAAUAAUGAUGGGUUGUCAAAGUGUAAUGCAUUGGAACUAGUAAUUGUUAGGUUAUAAAUCGGACCAAGAAAAAAUUAUAUAUAAUUCAUAAAUCAUUGGUAAAGUUUGAAACUUCUAUGAACUAAGAAUUUCGUUUUAUGAAUUAUAAUUUUCUCUAAUCACAUUACACUCCCACAAAUAUUAUCGUUCAAUGUGAUUUGUGCUAGUAGGCCAUGCGCAUGCUUAGUUCAUUCAUAAGUGCUCUAAAAGAUUAUUGCCAAUAAUUCUUAUAAAAGCGGCCUCACUCUAUAUUUAUAUAAGUGAUUUUGAUUCCAUCAAGUGUUUUCUAUAGUUAAAUACUCCAUUUAUAAUGACUAUGGAAAUUAUUAAGAGUUUAGCUCAGUCACUUUUUCAUUAUAGUCUUAUGUUGACCUAAUUCACUGCAGUUAUUCUAGCUCGCGUCGAAAUUAAACUUAUCUUCAACUCGCACUAAAAUCAGAGCAUAAUCAAAAUAUCCACAUGAUAAGCAAUCUGAGAUUGAUAAUGUUAUCUCCAUCUCACACAAGAACUAGAGCACAAUCAAAAUAUUUGAGAUUGAUUCAAAUACUUUCACCGGAGGUUACUAAUUAUAUUGUCAAUGUAUAUCUCCUAAGAUUCUUGCUAAGUAUAUGUAUAUAAGAGUCAUCACUUAUUGUAAUGCAUAAUUCAAAAAUUAAAAUAUACAAUUCUUAUAUCUUCUCUAUUCUCUAUUUUCUACAUCUCUAUUUUUAUCUUGGUAUCAGAGCAGAAAAAGGCGAAAGCCUAUCAAUCCAAAUAUGAGUAAGUCAAAUUCUCUCCUGAACAAACUAUCCUUCAACAACGUCAGCCUCCCACUUCACUUAAAAGCAGUAGGUGCUCUUUAUCUUUUGUCUUUUCCUUCUUACUCCCAUUUCUGACUUUUCCCUUUCUCUUUUCUUUUGUCUUUUCCUUGUUUCUUCUCUUUUUUUUUCUUCGUGCGGUCUUCUUCUUGAAGGCCCCUCUGCAAAUGUCAGGCUUAACAAACUAUCGAACUCAUGCCGAAAUCAACAGACAAUGGACAAGCGAGACCCGACCUCAGUACAGGCACGAACGAAACACAGCAAGUCUCGGCCUUAGACGAAGGACACGAACGCGCAUCUAGCUUAGGCGUUUCAUCGAGCACUUGGCGUGGGACCUCCUGGGCAACGAGCAGCAGCUGAAACGGGACCUCAAUCGAAGACCGGGACAAACGGCAUGGGACAAACCGGGGCUUAACAGCUAGAAAGCAUAUGACAUAGCCGGGGUCGGAACUUAUACGACCUGAACGACGGAGGCUUCGGGCGCCGGUCCUUGGCAUGCCAACCAGCCUCCCCCUUGGCCGAACCAGCGUCUCAUCUCAGCAUUGAAGGCGUGUCCCAUCCGUUGCUGGCCUACUCCCCUCUCUCUGCCAUCGAUCGUCCUCCGCGCACCCGUCGACGACCUCUGCGCGCGUGAGUUGCAGAGAAGGGAAGGAAAGAGAAAGAAUAAGGGGCACGCCCAGCCCCUGUGGGCUAAUUUUUUUUUUUUAAUUAUCAAAAAAUAAGGUAGGAAAAAUAGAAAACAAAACUCAAUAGAUGUAAAUAAUAUUAAUACCUACGUCAUGUGAAAAUCAUUUUUUUGGGGGCAAAUUUGUCCAUAAUUUUCUAUGCAAAUUAAUCUCAAAUAAAUCAUUUUUUUUGGGGGCAAAUUUGUCCAUAAUUUUC